rnacentral:rRNA from 1 species
UACGUAGGGUGCAAGCGUUGUCCGGAAUUAUUGGGCGUAAAGAGCUCGUAGGCGGUCUGUUGCGUCGGCUGUGAAAACCCGGGGCUCAACCCCGGGCCUGCAGCCGAUACGGGCAGACUAGAGUUCGGCAGGGGAGACUGGAAUUCCUGGUGUAGCGGUGAAAUGCGCAGAUAUCAGGAGGAACACCGGUGGCGAAGGCGGGUCUCUGGUACGUGACUGACGCUGAGACGCGAAAGCGUGGGGAGCGAACAGG